UUUAAAUCGCAACUCUGUUUCACCAGUAGUACGGCGCGCGUACAUAACAAAAGAUUAGUGUGUUUCUUUAAAUGGAGAGAAAAUUUGGAAGAAGAGAAGAAAAUGUCGGCAAGAAGAACAGGGGUGACCCCUGACGUGGAAAGCAGUCCUGUCAAUUGGGCUUCCGUCUAUCAAGAAGCAAGCAAUCUUCUACCACCGAGAGAUGAACCCGCGCCUCCAGGACGGCCGGUGAGGCCGCAACCUCACCGCCCUCCAGGUCAUGCCAUGCACAUGACGGGUUACGAGGGGUUUUGCUUCAUAAAGCGCUCCCGGGAGAAAAAACCAGCAGAGACAGGUUUCACGCGAGAGUCCAGCCAAAACAGCUUCACCAGUUUCAGCGAUGCGGCCCCAAAAAAGUUUAGAUUUAAACACGUGUUCAGGAAUUUGAUGCUAGGUUGCUUUGGUUUCCACAAGCACUUGAGCUAAAUGUUCACAUAGCCAGUUGCAAGAUUUUUUGAAAAGUUGAAAGUUACAACAUAAUAUUGAAAUGCUACAUUGCUUAACUGAUAUGGUCACCUUUGCCCAGUAAAGUUGAGAAAACCGCUCACGACUAUCAGCAUAUUCAGUCCGAAAAAAAGCUGCUGUACAGUCGUCAGUGCAACUAGCAAAAAUUCUCAAAUAUAAUAGACAAACAUUAUAAUAUUAACUUACAGAAAAAUGUCGUCGCAUUUCUUCAUAAAGGUGAAAAGCAUUUUAAGAUACAAAUCACAAAGAAGAAAUGAACAGCUGAUAGACAUUCAAAUACAUUCGGUGGACUAAAAAAAAACAAUCGUGUUUAAUGGACUCAGGAAUUCAAUUCAUUCAUUGUAAUACAAUAGUUACCUACAUGCAGUUUUUACAACAUUUUUUUGCAUUUUUAUGCAACUGGCUAAAAUCUUCUUCUUGUCGUGUCGACAACAAACCUACAGUGUCAGCCCGAAACUCUGCUACAAGAGUGGCGUUGGUUGACUGACUAUAUUUAUGUGAAAUAAAAUUAAAAUAUUAUAACUAUAUGGAUUAAACUAUAAUUUAUUGGAGUUUUUGUCGGCCACUUUACCAGUCGCGCUGAAACCGCGUGGUGAAGCCAUCCCACUGUUGGGAUGAGUGAGAUCUGCCGAAAUAUAAUAUCUUUGCUUUAUUUAAUGUCAAUUACAUAGUUUUAUUUAACCAAAAAAACAAUAAAAAUGUUUAACGAUAAAUCACAAAAAAAAUUGAUACAAAUAUUAAUGUAGCUAAUGUAAAUGCUUAUAAAAUUGUUACUUAAUCAUGUUUUAAAGGUAAUAAAAUUAUCAUAUCACUAAUAUAA